CUGACUUCAGGCCUGUGUUUGCACUUUGCUGGGGUUGAGCACAGACCCUGGGCUGGGUCGCCUGGGUCCCCAGCACAGCUGGCUUCGUUCCCGUGCUUCUCUCUCCAGCCGGGACCAGGCAUGAGGCCCCGGCCCAAGUGCCUGUGGGCGCUGCCAGCCCAGCCUCCUCCCACGCACAGUGGGGCUGCCCAAGAGGGUUCACCCACCAGACUCAGGAGCCAGAGCCUCCACAGAGGGGAUGAGUCAGUUCCAAGGGGGGUCCUGACCCCCAGGGGAUGUUGGUCUGGGUAUAGAUGGCGGCGGUCGCAGCUUGCGGGGGGUGCUCCUGGCGUCUAGCAGGCGGAGGCAGGACCCGGCACCUGCAGACUCUCACUGUAGGAGGAUGUGGGUCCCGCGGGGACACAGGACAGACUCCGGGGCCAGCCUCCACGAUGGCUGCAGGGACCCCCCUCACCUCUCGGUAUUCACGCCCUUGUGCGCUGCCACCCCCUCGCCCCCCCCACACACACACUGAGCCAGGGCUGGGCCUGCGGCAUCAGUGGAACAGCCUGUGACUUCCCCUGAGCCUGGAUCCCUGAAGCCUUGGUCUGGUGGGCGCUGGAUCGCAGAGGAGCCAGCCGCCGUGCUUCGAGGAAGCUCAGGCAGGUGUGUGCAGGAGCUGAGGCCCCAGCCAGCAGCAGCACCAGCUCGCCUCGGACGUGCCCCUCCAGCCCCAGUCCCGCCUUCAGAUGAGGCCAUCUCCCUGCUGACACAGGACCACAGCUGCAUGUCGUAGGCAGACUGAGAACUGCCCAGAGGCCUGGCCAACUGAAAGUGAGAGAAACGGGUGAUUUUGCUGUUGGAAGUUGCCGCGUCGGGGGGGAUGUAUUAAAGAGACGUGCCUCGCUGGAGCCCUCGGGCCUGCACUGGGCACACAGCUGUACCCGGGACCCUUCCUACUGGUCCUUGGUGGUUGCCCUCCCAUGAGCACCAGUNCAGAGCCCCAGUUCCCUUCUUGGGGGGGGGGGUCCCACCCCACCCCACGGGGCCACGAGCCGGCCAGGCCACCCUCACCCUCCUGUGACAACCAGCUGAGCCGUUUCACCACACGGGAGGCCACGGGAGGGUCCUGGCUUCUCUCCAGACUUGGCCGUGCUGUUAGCAGGGGGCGUGCCCCGCGUCUCCCCCGAAGGAAAGGCCUCAUCUGAGAUGCCCGAACCUGAUCCCCUGUGGGUACACCCGAGGCGCUGAGCCCCGGCCGUGUGCUGGGAGCAGCUGGGGGGCUUGCGGGCCUGUCCGGGACUCACCGGGCACCGGAGGCUCAGACCUGCCUGGGUGUUCUGAGCGCAGCCGCAGCUGAAACCGCUGGUGCCCAUCAGCCAGAUUGAUGCUUGCAACGUGUUCUCAGUCUGUUUACAAAAUAGAGCACUUGGUCGGAAAGGGGAAUUCAGCACUUGAGGCGGCCCGCAGCUUAGGAAAUCAUUUUUCUGGACACAGCGGUCUAGCCUGAAAGGGCUUAUGUUUAAUCGCAUUUUCCCGCAGGAGAAAGUGCCUCUGGAGACGCUGAGAGUGGGGCAGGGUGCCCAGCGGGGCUCUCCAAGUAGAAACAGCCGCAAGCAGCCUGGUCAACAGAUUAUGAAAAUGACCACAGAGGCUCCACCUGCCCGGAGCCCAGCUCCCCGGGGUCGCACAAUGCAUCUGGCUCAUGUGGGUCAGGGCUGUUCCAAGGGCGCAGCCGGUAGGAGGCUUCCACACCAAAGGAGAUUUAUUGC
rnacentral:lncRNA from 1 species